AUAACUUAGUGUUUAAAUUAAAGCUAUUUUCAUUUGACAUUGCAAGGUAUGCAUGCGGGAUUACCAAAAUACAUAGCGGUUAACUUAAAAGACAUCGAAACAGCUGGAUUUCAAGACGGAGAUGAGGUGUCGUUGGAGACUUUAAAGGAGAAGGGUUUGAUCAACCCUUAAGGAAGAGAGAGGAAACUCCCUUUGAAGAUUCUCGGUGACGGGGAGCUGAAGGUAAAGCUGAACAUGAAGGCCCGUGCCCUUUAAGCAUCUGCAAAGGAAAAGCUUGAGGCUGCCAGUUGCUCUCUCACCGUACUGCCUGGGCGCAAGAAGUGGGUUAAGCCUUCAGUUGCAAAGAACCUUGCUCGAGCUGAGGAAUACUUGGCCAAGAAGAGGGCUGCAUCAUCAUCCGGCCCCACUUCUGCAUGAAUGGCAUGUAAUUGAUCUGCUCUGUUUUGAUAAAAUGUUGAGAGCAGUGAAGAGAAUUACUUUGUAUUCAUCUUUUUGGAGAACCCAGGGAGGGCUACUGGGUCACUGGGAUUCCUUUUAAUGCUUUCAAUCAUUAAGGUUCAUAUUGAUUUAAA